UACGGAGGGUCCGAGCGUUAUCCGGAAUUAUUGGGUUUAAAGGGUCCGUAGGCGGGCCGUUAAGUCAGAGGUGAAAGUUUGUGGCCCAACCAUAAAAUUGCCUUUGAUACUGACGGUCUUGAGUUAUAGUGAAGUGGCUAGAAUAUGUAGUGUAGCGGUGAAAUGCAUAGAUAUUACAUAGAAUACCGAUUGCGAAGGCA
rnacentral:rRNA from 1 species